GUGGCAUAACUAGCAGUCAGCCAACGUGCACCCGUCCUACUUCUCAUCCGCCGUUUGUUUCCCGAGAAAAUCCCCAAAAAAGAAAAUUAAAAAAAAAAAAACCCGAAAAUCACCACACCCCGCUCUCUGUAUGGCGGUCCGGGCCUCCGUGUCGCGGUUUCCGAUCGACGCUGGGGCCCACGAGAGCUCAGGCAUCCCAUGGGGCGUUUCGGUGACGCCGUUCGCGACGAAUGACGAGAACGGCCAGUCGCCGGCAUAAGGAUCGGACGGCCAGCUGUUGCCAAGGUGCGAGAACCGCUGGGCGUAUUUCAACACGUUCUGCGAGCUGGAUCAGUGGUCGUGGAACUGUGCCCUGUGCGGAAACCCUCAGGGGCUUUCGUCUUAGGCCAUUGCUCGAUACUCGCACCCUCAAUCCUGCCCCGAAAUGAUGUCCUCGUUCGUAGAUCUGGAGCUUCCUGUAGUAGAGUCGGAUGAAGUAAUGCAACCUCGCCCGGUUUACGUUGCGGUCAUUGAUUUGUCCUCUUCA